GAGACAAUCCCUCCCCUACUGCUCAAUUCUUUUCUCGCCUAUCUCAGAUCAAAUCUCCCUCGUCCCUCUCUCCCUGGCUCUCACCUCAGUCACAUAUCUCCCUCCUUCGUUCCUCGACGCCAUCGCAUACUCAUCUUUCGUUCCUUGACGCUCAUUGCAUGCCAUCGCACACCCAUCCUUUAAUCCCUCUCAUUCAAAUCACAGAGUUAUGGAAAGUUAAAUAUUACUCAGGCUACAUCUUCAGUCCGUGUUUCUCGUUAUUCUUCUUCUUCUACUUUCAUAUGGGUUUGCUCGAUUGGUUUGAUUGUUGGGUUUGUUCGAUUUGUUUCAUUGUUAGAUUUCGACAUCUGGGUUUUUUUUUAUUCAUUUGAUUGU
rnacentral:misc_RNA from 1 species